rnacentral:rRNA from 1 species
GACGAACGCUGGCGGCGUGCCUAAUACAUGCAAGUCGAACGCAGUGGGGACGGGUGAGUAACACGCGGGUAACCUCCCAUCAGAGGGGAUAACACUUGGAAACAGGUGCUAAACCGAUACUGAUGGAUGAACCCGCGGUGCAUUACCUAGUUGGUCAGGUAACGGCGGACCAGGUCCACGAUGCAUAGCCGACCUGCGAGGGUGAUCGGCCGCACUGGGACUGAGACACGGCGCAGACGCCUACGGGAGGAAGCAGUGGGGAAUUUGCGGCUAUGGACGAAAGUCUGACCGAGCGACGCCGCGUGAGUGAAGAGGGUUUUCGGGUCGUAAAGCUGUGUUGUUAGAGAAGCGGUAUCUGGCCAGAAAGCCACGGCUAACUACGUGCCAGCAGCCGCGGUAAUUC